rnacentral:misc_RNA from 1 species
GUGAAGAACGUAGCGAAAUGCGAUAAGUAAUGUGAAUUGCAGAAUUUAGUGAAUCAUCGAAUCUUUGAACGCACAUUGCGCCCGCCAGUAUUCUGGCGGGCAUGCCUGUUCGAGCGUCAUUUCAACCCUCAAGCUCAGCUUGGUGUUGGGACUCGCGGUAACCCGCGUUCCCCAAAUCGAUUGGCGGUCACGUCGAGCUUCCAUAGCGUAGUAAUCAUACACCUCGUUACUGGUAAUCGUCGCGGCCACGCCGUAAAACCCCAACUUCUGAAUGUUGACCUCGGAUCAGGUAGGAAUACCCGCUGAACUUAAGCAUAUCAAUAAGCGGAGGA